rnacentral:lncRNA from 7 species
CAACAUUAUAUUGUUCAAUCAACGGAUCAAAUUAUACUGUUGAAUCAAAUUGUAUUCAUGUUUCCAUUUUUCAUUUUUGUGUUUACAAAUGAAUUUGGUUUAGAAAAUGCUGACAUGCAAAUGAUAUUAGCUUCCACAUGCAUCUAAAAAAUAGAAUGCUCCCUUUAUGAAUUGAAUCAAAAUUACGAAUUGAAUCAAAAU